rnacentral:rRNA from 1 species
GAGUAAUGUCUGGGAAACUGCCUGAUGGAGGGGGAUAACUACUGGAAACGGUGGCUAAUACCGCAUAACGUCGCAAGACCAAAGAGGGGGACCUUCGGGCCUCUUGCCAUCAGAUGUGCCCAGAUGGGAUUAGCUUGUUGGUGAGGUAACGGCUCACCAAGGCGACGAUCCCUAGCUGGUCUGAGAGGAUGACCAGCCACACUGGAACUGAGACACGGUCCAGACUCCUACGGGAGGCAGCAGUGGGGAAUAUUGCACAAUGGGCGCAAGCCUGAUGCAGCCAUGCCGCGUGUAUGAAGAAGGCCUUCGGGUUGUAAAGUACUUUCAGCGGGGAGGAAGGUGUUGUGGUUAAUAACCGCAGCAAUUGACGUUACCCGCAGAAGAAGCACCGGCUAACUCCGUGCCAGCAGCCGCGGUAAUACGGAGGGUGCAAGCGUUAAUCGGAAUUACUGGGCGUAAAGCGCACGCAGGCGGUCUGUCAAGUCGGAUGUGAAAUCCCCGGGCUCAACCUGGGAACUGCAUUCGAAACUGGCAGGCUUGAGUCUUGUAGAGGGGGGUAGAAUUCCAGGUGUAGCGGUGAAAUGCGUAGAGAUCUGG